ACAUUGUGGCCUGUGGUGAAAGCAGCAGUGUAGGAAUCUGUGCUCAGUCAGGAUCUGUGCUCUGCCUGCUCAUCAAAUGGAGGCUCUCUCUUCCAGCUUUGGUGAAACAACCAGCCUUUUUGGGGUUUAAGUGGAUGCUCUCACCUUUCUUUUUUACAGCAUGUACUUCACGACUAUUUUUCCAGUGAAACUGUGCAUCUGCAUGUGGUGGUGAUGAUGAUGAUGAUUAUUUUUAUUGUAUCAUGCUUUACCACUUUAGCUGAUAACGUCAAGGAGGUGUCUCUCUGGAGGAGAGCAGCGCUGCAUUGAGGUGCCUUAGGUAGCCCUAAAUGAACUGCUUGCCUUCCGGAUCCAGUGCAGCCCUCCUGGGCUUUGUUCCUAACAGAGCUAAUUAGUUGGGGUAUUACAUCAUGCUAAAGCAGUUAUUUUGCUUCCAGUUCCAACGUGCUUCAUUUAGCGAUAGCUCACAUAUCUCUGCAAAAUACAGUGUUGUAUUGUUUUGGCCUGUCCAAAAUACUUAGAAGGAGAGAUUUAUAAUAGGUGGUCAGUUCUACUUCCUUAUUUCUUUGGUGUUUGCACAGUGGUGAAUUAGCUCUUCAGUUUGGGGGGAUUUCUUCUAUACUGCUUGCAGGCCUCUUUUCUACUCCUUUUCUUGUUUGUCUUUGUUUGCAUUACCACCAAACUCACCUUUCUGCAUCCUAACCAGCCUUUGGUGUUUUGCUCCCUCACUCAAAGUAAUGAUUGCCCUGAGAGUUAUUAAUGCCUGCCUUCCCUUCUCUCUGUGCUUAUUUAGAAGUGUGGUAUCUGAAAGAUUACGUGAGGAGGGAGAGGGUAUUGUGUGCUUCUGCUUGACCUGGAGAGGAGAAUCCAAAGACUUGCAUGUUCUGUGUAGGAAUGGUAUUUGCCUUUUCCUACCUGCAUGGUACAAUGAAGUACCAGUAAACGAUGUGCAGCAACACUUCAGAAGCAUCCUGGUAGUCACCUUACUUCAUUCAGAAUCUGAGAAAAUAGUGUAAAGCUGAAGCAGAAGGAGAUUCAAAGUGCCCUAGUCCAAGUAAAAAUGCAGACAAUUUGAGAUGGUCUAAUCAAGAUCAGAACUUCCCUGGUACAGAAUUUUCCAAUAAGGAGUAGUUAAGAUGGAAUUCAUGUCUCUUCAUUUCACUACCAAGAUUUGUGGGAAAACUCCUGGGAAAUAAGAGUUAGACUUUUGGUUUUGUCGAAGACAUAGUUCUAGAGAAUCAGUGAAGCAGUAAGUAUUGUAAGAAUAUUAAGCUUGUUAACUCUUAAGUGUGUAUCUGUAAAACCAGAUUUCUCUAUGAAGGCAAAUGUGUCAUAGAAUGAUGGAUUUUAACAGAGCUAAUAUCAGCAGUAACAUUUAAGUUCAGUAAACUUGUGCAGUGAGCAUAAUUUCUUCUAAAAUGGACGUUAUAAUGAUCAGUAUGUUGGAGGAAAUCACACUGAUAUUAGUAUUUCUCAGCUCUUCUGGUCUUAUGUCUAUUAAUGCUGUAUCUUUUGUUUCAUUGUAAUUUUUUAUUAUAUUUUUUUAUUAAUCUACAGCUGUCUGUCUUUCUCUGUAAUACAUGCCAUUAUCUGUAACUAGUUUAUCUUUGUAAUAUGCAGUGGAUAUUUUGUUAUUUGUGUAGCAUGAGUCUUCUUACAUUUUCUUGAACUGCAGGUAUAUUAAUUUCACUUACCCGAAACUAUUUUACCCUCUUCCUCAUAGUAUUUUCUUCUCAAACUUUUCAUACUCAACAACAACAGCAAAGAUCAGAAUAUUGCUCUACAGGAAUCAAACUUAUGUCUUUGUGUUGCUGCUGGAGGUACAAAAAUAUUAUCCUAGUUUUAUUUUGAUCCCAAUUUUUAUGAAGAUGAAAAUGAUUAGUGAUGAAUGUUUAGUGUAAAACAUUGCAUAAUGAAUUAUUACAAGAGAAAUGCUCCAUGGUUUGUGGCUGCCUUCAUACUAAUUUUCUUAAUUAUUAUGUCAAUUUAAAAAAAUACUUUUUGACAACAGCUAGAUCAUCAGCUUUCUCCUGAAUCUUUUUACACAAAAGUCAGAUACUUUAAAUCUUACUUUAUUGAAAUAACUGUGUACUUGACAUUGUUGGAACAGGUAUCUAAAACCUGUCAAGGAGAGUAUUAUACUGUGUUGCUGAAUACUUACUGAUGUGUACUUGUAGAUAAAUUGGUAAUUUAAAAUACUUUAUUUUCAAAGCACAAGGAAGCAAGAUAAGUUGCCUGUUGAACACACAGCUGCAUUCUUCUUUUAUCUAAGUUACUCUUAAAUGUGACAACUAAAUGUCAGCUUUUAGCAUUGUAUAGUAUUAAACAAUUAAAUAAUUUUGGUUUAUUGAUGUUUCUAUUAUUAUGCAUAUUCCACUGUCUGUGUUGCUAUGAAGCAGGCAUGUGCUCUGAAUAUCACCAUCAUCAAAAAUAUCUUCUUUAAAUUGUUCAUUUCAUUAAAGAGUUCUAGUAAAAAACUGUAAAAUACUAAACAUAAAAUAAAAUCAAAGAAAAAAAUUUCCCAUCUCAGUCUUGACUAAGUUUCUCAUGUAAGUACUACAAGAAAUACUGUAAAAAUGGGAAGCCCAUUUGGAAACAGUGAAGUAUCCCCACAGGAGAAGGAUUUUGGUUUAUAUUAUCAUAUCUUCUUAUGUACUAUAGAUGAAAAGACAGACUUCCAAAAGAUUAAGGCAGAUUAAGUACAUGGUUGUUGCUGUGAUGCUUACGUGUGAUGGAAGAUCAUCCACUGUGAUGGAAGAUCAGCUUGCUAGGAUGUAGAGUGAAAAUGGUAGAUAAGGAAACAAAGGAAAAUCCUGAAAUGAGUCCGUCAAAAAAGUUAAUGAGUAAAUGCAUUUCAUUGUUUGCAGGAGAUUUCGAUUAAUUCAAACUUGUAUAAAAGGUAUGAAAACCAUCAAGUUCCUUCUCCUGGUCCUGUGUUUGAUACAUCUGCCUUUCUAAAGAAGUUAUGCCAGUGUUGUUAACUAAUGAGGUUAAAUUACUUGCUAAUAUAUUUGAAAAUUCUGUCUCAUUUUUUCUCAUCUCAGCUUCACUGAAGAGCAUAUUUUAUCAGCAAGCUUACAAUUUUUCCCAGUUUUGGACAGAGUUUUGCAAAACCAUUAGGAAUUGCACUUUCCUCUGAUUUCAAGCUGAAUCAUCAUAGUUGACAGAGGGGUGGAAUACAGGAGAAAGAGGAAGAUGCCUCUGAAGGCCUCCAGAGGGAGAUCCUGUCCACCUCAGUUGAAGUGCCUCAAGUUUAAAGGGGAUUCCAAAUAAAGCUUAUAAUAUAAUUAAGAUUACCAGUAAAUUCCAUACCGGCUGCUGC